rnacentral:lncRNA from 1 species
UGCCUCCUCGUUAUUCAAACCACUGCUCUCUCUCCCCACCCUAUUUGUGCAAAUCUCGCCAAUCCUUUAAGUCUCAAAUCAAAUCCCACUUCCUCAUUCAAGAUUUUCCUGAGUCUUCUAGCUUUGAAAUUCACCUUUCCUCCUCUGAUGCUGUUGUGUUCCGUUGCAAUUCAUAAUUUACUUCCUCUUCAUGUGGUCAUGUUUUAUCUUCCCAACUAGAAAGGCAACUUCUUAAAGGUGAAAGCCAACUCAGCAACGUCUCUUUAAGGAGAUAAUAUGAAGAGGCAUCAGCUUUUGUUCUGAUACCAUCAACAAUGAUCCAGAUGAAAAGGAAUGUGGUUCAACCUCCAUAUUUCUCAUAAAGAGAAAACUGAGGUCCAGAGAAGUGAAAUGGCUUAUCCAGAGGCAGUCAGGAGCCUUGUUUGCUGCAUGUGUGCCAGAACCUCGGAGCAGGAAACAUGCCAUCAGAAUGAAUGUGUCUGCCUGGCAAAGGCAGGGCAGAGCGGAAUCGAUUACAGAGAGGAAGGCGGGCAGUUGAAUGGGAUGCUGCCUAAAGAGAACCCAGCAGAUCCGUUCACUCUGCGAGCCAGUCUUGACCUUCUGCGCCUUAGGACCAUCUCCCUAGGACCACCAGCAUGAAGUUCAUGUGUCAAGAAGAAGUCGUCUGUGUUCUCCAAAAGCAACUUCAUCACCAGUUUUGAAAUAAUUCAAAAACAUUUGCUCUCUUCAGAUCAGCUUCCUUCAAGCCAAUGUUUAUUUAAUUCAUAUGUCUGAAGUUUUCUGGCUCUUGAAAGUCAACAUUCUUGGUCUCCUCCCCUGUCCCAGCAUGUUUAAGUUGAGAUGGUGUUCUUUCUUGUUUCCUUAAGAGCUCUUGCCAAGUCACUGGGCAUGUCUCUCUUGUUCAUCUUCUGAAAAUCUUCAAUAAAUACAUGUCCUGAUUCUCCCA